GCCAGCAUGGUGUAGUGGUUUGAGCAUUGGACUAUGACUCUGGAGACCAGGGUUCGAAUCCUUGCUUGGCC